GGUCUGCGCCCUAUCAGCUAGUUGGUGAGGUAAUAGCUCACCAAGGCAAUGACGGGUAGGCGGAGUGAGAGCUUGACCGCCAACAAUGGCACUGAGACACUGGCCAUACUCCUACGGGAGGCUGCAGUCGAGAAUAUUGGUCAAUGGGCGAAAGCCUGAACCAGCGACGUCGCGUGUAGGAAUAAGAUCUUCGGAUUGUAAACUACUUUUAUGAGGGAAGAAUUUUUUAUGACGGUACCUCAUGAAUAAGGGGUGACAAAACUCGUGCCAGCAGUAGCGGUAAUACGAGUGCCCCAAGCGUUAUCCGGAUUAAUUGGGCGUAAAGGGUCUGUAGGCGGUUUGUUAAGUUUUCCGUUAAAUCUUCAGGGCUCAACCUUGGAGCUGCGGGAAAAACUAACAGACUAGAGGAUGUUAGAGGUUAGCGGAAUGUCUGGUGGAGGGGUGAAAUCCGUUGAUAUCAGAUAGAACACCAAAAGCGAAGGCAGCUAACUGGGGCAAUCCUGACGCUGAGAGACGAAAGCGUGGGGAUAAAAGAGGAUUAGAUACCCUUGUAUUCCACGCCCUAAACGAUGAGCACUAGCUAUUGCAAGUGUCGACCCUUGCAGUGGCUAAGCUAACGCGUUAAGUGCUCCGCCUGGGAAGUACGGCCGCAAGGCUAAAACUCAAAGGAAUAGACGGGGACUCACACAAGCGGUGGAUCACGUGGCUUAAUUCGACACUAAGCGAGGAACCUUACCAAGGCUUGAAACUUUAAUGUAAUCCUUCCGAAAGGAAGGCCCUCCGCAAGGACAUUAGAGCAGGUGCUGCAUGGUUGUCGUCAGCAGGUGGCUUGAGUUGCUCCCUUAAAUGGGGUAACCUGCGCAACCCUUGCCCUAUGUUUUACAUGUCAUGGGGGACUGCCUAGGACAACUAGGAGGAAGGUGAGGAUGACGCUAAAUCAGCAUGGCCCUUUGAUGCCUUGGGCUGCACACGUGAUACAAUGAAAACGACAAAGGGGUGCGAAAAGGCAACUUGGAGCAAAUCCCAACAAACGUUUUCUUAGUUCGGAUUGAGGUCUGCAACCCGACCUCAUGAAGCCGGAAUCGCUAGUAACCGUGGAUCAGCCAUGUCACGGUGAAUGAGUCCCUGGGUCUUGCACUCACCGCCCGUCAAG
rnacentral:rRNA from 1 species